AUAUCAACAACAAUGUCAUUAGGUCAUGUUUAAUGGUUGAAUGUCAUUAUUACAGAAACUGCACUUCUAUCUUUAGACUUUAAAAAGCUGUACUUUGAAAAUUCUGGUCUUUUAUGGAUUUAAAUUUGUAUGCAUUCAAAUAUUUUCCACAGAAAAGGUGAGAGGAGGGAUCUGUGCUGUGCUUGGGAAUGUUCUGAUACGGAUGGCGGAACCAGCGAUGAUAAUGACUUUCAUCAAUACCAGGAGGCUAAACAGAAGGUUAGGCACAGGUGCAGUUACUUGGACGAAAGGAACAUCAUUUUGUCCCCUCAUUUAUUUGCUCAGCCCAGGUCAUGCGUAUCUGGAGCAAAUGAUGCAUUGGAUGAAGCAAACUCAAGAUGGAAAGCUUCUCAAAUCAGUAGCGUCUCCACUAAAUCUGCCAGCCCAGACAUAAACAUUACCACUGAGAGACCAAGUGCACCAGACCCGAGCUGUGUACCCAUAAAUCCCAGCGUAUCUAGUGAUUCAAUGCCCCAGAGACAAAAUACUGUCAGCGAGAACUCACUGCAAGUACAUAUCGUAGAGGUGAACGGGAUUCUGCCAAUGAUUGAGUGGAUUCCAGAAUCAUCUCAUGAGCAAAUGAUGGAGGAAACCACAUCUUGGAGGUGUGCUGGACUUGUCUCAGCGAACAUUGAAACAAGGAGUCCUGAAGCUCUUUGGAAGAAGGCAUCUGGAAAGAAAAUCGAAUGGUGCCACAAGCGCCUGGAUAAGGCGUCCCACUUUGGGUCAUCAUCGCCCACUGCAGCCAGGCCCAGAGUGGUGAUCCGGAGACUGGCGCGAGGAAGAGGUUACAGAGGGACAAGCAGGCAUAGGGAACAGAAGCUCAAACCACUGGUGAAUCACAAAGACCUGCACAAUAGCUACUAUAAUCUGUCAACACUACAUAAUCGCUAUGGAUGUCUCUGUAGCCCUUGCCAACCGCGGUUGAGACACAGUCCAGGGGGAGACCAGCGAGACGCCACACAGAACCUUGACAGGAAACAGCAAGAGUUUUCAGAAGCAAUUGGGGACAUUUGGUGUCUGUCAGGAUGCCCGAAGAACGCCGAAUCCCCUCCGACUCCGCACCAUGUCACUUUCUCUCAUAUUUUACAGGUUCUCCAGACCAAACCAGCCAAUUUUCCAGAGGUCAGGGGCCAGAGAUGUCACAGGGCUCUUUAA
ensembl:lncRNA